CCCUAAACAUAGAUUUUUUCCAUACAAAAAAUUCCGCCAGAGUUCUUUUNACAAAAAAUUGGGAANUCAAGGGGNUUGGCGGGGUCUCAAACCCAAUUUGGGGGGCCUUUUCUUUUAUCGGUACUCCACGAUUUACCUCACCACCCUUAGGCCACAGGCUUUUUUCCCCCCUCUUCAGCCUCCCCUGGGAAAGAUUUAAGGUGGGCACAAUAGUCACCAAGCACUAUCAAGUCAGGUCAAGGUGUAGCCAAUUAGCUGGGAGAAAUGGGCUACAUUUUCUACAAUAGAAAUAUUCUUACGGAGGGCACUUUGAAACAGGACCCAAUAAGCAGGAUUUAGCAGUAAUGUAGAAGCAGAGAGCCUACAUUCAUUAGGACCUGAGAC
rnacentral:rRNA from 1 species